AUGAAGCAAAACACAUGGGUGGAUUCCAUCGGAUCUUCCCUCGGGAAGGACGAGAGAAAUACGAAAAGUAUUUUCAACACAACAGCUCACUCUUCAGGAGACUGCAGCCUCCAAAGCCAGGGAGGAGUGUGCCAGCUACCAACUUUGCUGGAGCAGACCACCUUGAGGGGAGAGACACCCGUUGCUCUUGAUCUAAUAGAGGAAGAGGAGGCAGAGAGAGUCAGUGAACUUCACUUCAGUUUGGACUCCAUUGCAAAGAUUUCUUGGAGGCAGAAGAACUUCUGCACUAUGAUGCAGCAGAAGGUCUCUACAAAAGCUAAGCCCUGCCUGCAGUGUAUACAUUCCCAGCUGCUGCAACCGGGAGGUCUGAAACACUGUGGGGUGGAAGAGAUGGCAGCUUUAAAUGCAGAGCGGCAUUCUAGAGCGAACACAUGGUGCCACGAUGUUCCGUGACCCCAAAUCUCUCUACGUCAUUUCUACCCCUGCUCCUCUUGUUCCCAGGCCACACCUCUCCCAUGGCCUUCGAAAGGCCCCUCGCAGAGUCCCCCCGCAGGAGCACAGCCACUGACCCAGGAUGUGUUCAAGCUCAACAUAAACAAGUAAUUCAAUAACAUAAGUGUGGAGAAUACAAACUAAGGAAGGUGUUCAGAUGUCAGAAAUAAAUCAGGAAUAGAAGGUGAGAAGCUCUGCAUUCAACUGUCUUCCGUACUGAAAAUGUGAAAAUUCACUCUUAAUAGAAAGCCAUUUCUCCGUAUUGUCAACUUGGUUACAUUUAGUCAGGAAAUUACUUUUGGCAAUGCAGUGGGCAGACGCCUGUUGUAACCCUUUAGUUUAAAAGAAGCCAUAAGUGAAUGAUUUUGAUAUUAAUUAAUGUGAAUGCGCUUUUAUUGAGCACAGCCAUUGUAAGAUAUUUUUUUAUGAAUUCAUGUCAAAGCAAGCCAAUAUAAAUAAACAUUUCAAUAGAACAUUUUAUAGUAUUUUGUUGAUUAUUUCUAGCAUGCAAAUCCUAACACUUCAAGGGAGAACUAAUCUAAUCCUGACACUUUUGAGUAAACUGUUCCUUUAGGUUUAAUUCUGUGCUGAUUUGAUAGCUUUUUGUUAAUGAAUACGAAAAUGAAGAAAAAGGACAUUUAGCUAAAGUGGAGGUUUAUCAGCAGGCAAAUUGUACUUAAUCUCCACUACAUGUUUCCCAAAAACAUUAUCAAAGGUAGGGGGAUUUGGUAAAAACGUUUGUAUAGUAUUAAAACAAUGUAUUUAUUUUUUAAUUAAAAACUAAAAUAUAGUAUUUUUCUCUAAAUUAAUGGAUUUUCUCUAAAUGAAUGGAAAUGGUCACAUAUUGCAGUAGAAGAUGACGGUAAAUAUCCCAUAAGUACAGAGCAAGAGCAUAAAUUUUGACAGUCAUGUUGAAUUUAUAUCAUCGUAAAUAUACUAACACAUUAAGAGGGCAUACAGAAUUAUGGGUAAGGGUCAAAGGUGGUUUGGUUUUAACAUCAC
rnacentral:lncRNA from 12 species